rnacentral:tRNA from 1 species
GCUUGGGUAGCUCAGUAGGUAGAGCGGCGGUCUGAAAAUCCGCAGAUGGUGGUUCGAAUCCACCCUCGAGCA